rnacentral:rRNA from 1 species
GAUGAACGCUGGCGGCGUGCCUAAUACAUGCAAGUCGAGCGAACAGACGAGGAGCUUGCUCCUCUGACGUUAGCGGCAGACGGGUGAGUAACACGUGGAUAACCUACCUAUAAGACUGGGAUAACUUCGGGAAACCGGAGCUAAUACCGGAUAAUAUAUUGAACCGCAUGGUUCAAUAGUGAAAGACGGUUUUGCUGUCACUUAUAGAUGGAUCCGCGCCGCAUUAGCUAGUUGGUAAGGUAACGGCUUACCAAGGCGACGAUGCGUAGCCGACCUGAGAGGGUGAUCGGCCACACUGGAACUGAGACACGGUCCAGACUCCUACGGGAGGCAGCAGUAGGGAAUCUUCCGCAAAGGGCGAAAGCCUGACGGAGCAACGCCGCGUGAGUGAUGAAGGUCUUCGGAUCGUAAAACUCUGUUAUUAGGGAAGAACAAAUGUGUAAGUAACUAUGCACGUCUUGACGGUACCUAAUCAGAAAGCCACGGCUAACUACGUG